UGGCGCUCUGCUCUCUCUCUGUGUCGUCUGCGUCUCUCCCUGGCUUUCUGUAUGGCUCUGAGCUCGGGGGGCUGCUCUAACUCACGAGCCUUCUUCAGGUGAGCUGCCGCGUGGGCCAUGGCUCACACACACACACCACACACACACUCUUUCUAGCUGACUUUUAGUCAAGCAAAACUUGUCUUUCGCUUAAACUCUCCCUCUCUAACUCUCACACACACUUUCUCAGACACACUCUCCGUCUGUCCUUUAGGUAAAAACACUAGUAGACUAGUUAUGAAGUAUGGAGCUGAAGAUCCUCUUGAGGUCCAGUCUUCAGUCUAGUCAACAACACGAAGCUGGAGGUUCUCUUGAGAUCCAGUCUUCAGUCUAGUCAACGAUACGGAGCUGGAGGUCCUCUUGAGAUCCAGUCUUCAGUCUGGUCAACGACACGGAGCUGGAGGUCCUCUUGAGAUCCAGUCUUCAGUCUAGUCAACGAUAUGGAGCUGGAGGUUCUCUUGAGAUCCAGUCUUCAGUCUAGUCAACGAUAUGGAGCUGGAGGUUCUCUUGAGGUCCAGUCUUCAGUCUAGUCAACGAUAUGGAGCUGGAGGUCCUCUUGAGGUCCAGUCUUCAGUCUAGUCAAUGACACAGAGCUGGUGCCAUGAGUAUCCAAUAGAUCAAUUAUUAAUCGAGUUUCCAUGUCUAUUAUCUAUGUAUUCAUCUAUGCAUGCUAAUGAGCCAGUUGUAUUGCCUCAAUGGUCUUGUCUGGCAUGUGUUGAAUGUAGUUGGUCAGCUGGUAGUCACCUGGUAGUCACCUGGUAGUCACCUGGAAGUCGUCUGGAAGUCAUCUGGAAGUCGUCUGGAAGUCGUCUGGUAGUCAUCUGGUAGUCAUCUGGUAGUCACCCGGUAGUCAUCUGGUAGUCACCUGGAAGUCGUCUGGUAGUCACCUGGUAGUCACCUGGAAGUUGUCUGAAAGUUGUCUGGUAGUCACCUGGUAGUCACCUGGUAGUCGUCUGGACUGAAAUACCAGUAAAUGUGAUGAUGUCGUAAAAAUCCC
ensembl:lncRNA